AUUGAACGCUGGCGGCAUGCCUAACACAUGCAAGUCGAACGGUAACAGGCCCGCAAGGGUGCUGACGAGUCGCAGACGGGUGAGUAACACGUAGGAAUCUGCCCUGUAGUGGGGGAUAGCCCGGCGAAAGCCGGAUUAAUACCGCAUACGAUCUACGGAUGAAAGCGGGGGAUCGCAAGACCUCGCGCUAUUGGAUGAGCCUACGUCUGAUUAGCUAGUUGGUAGGGUAAUGGCCUACCAAGGCGACGAUCAGUAGCUGGUCUGAGAGGAUGAUCAGCCACACCGGAACUGAGACACGGUCCGGACUCCUACGGGAGGCAGCAGUGGGGAAUAUUGGACAAUGGGGGAAACCCUGAUCCGGCAAUGCCGCGUGUGUGAAGAAGGCCUGCGGGUUGUAAAGCACUUUUGUUGGGGAAGAAAAGCCGUCGGUGAAUAUCCGGCGGUCUUGACGGUACCCAAAGAAAUAAGCACCGGCUAACUCCGUGCCAGCAGCCGCGGUAAUAC
rnacentral:rRNA from 1 species